CCUCCUUUCACCUAAAAAUUUCACCAUCAGAAAAGGGCUUUUCUCCAGAUGAAGAAGCUAAAAAUUUCUCCUUUUCUUCAACUUGAAGUGCUUUUGGCUAAUAAUUGACCAAAUUAACUUGUCUUCUCCCCCAAACGUCCUUUCCCCUUGCUGGUUCUUUGGAGUUGUAUACCCUUUUUUUUCACAUUUUCGGCUUUCAAAGCUCUUUCCUGUUCUUUGUUCCUCUUCCGUAGAGCUGGCCGGUAUGAGAUUGAUGGAUACGUGUAUAAUUCCGUUGAGGAGCCAAAGAUAUUGAUGACUGGGAAAUGGAAUGAGCCAAUGAGUUAUCAACCUUGUGAUAGUUAAGGGGAACCACUUCCAAGCACUGAACUAAAGGAGGCAUGGAAACUUGUUGAUGCUCCAAAAAAUGAUAACUUCCAGUACACACAUUUUGCGCAUAAGAUUAACAGCUUUGAUACUGCUUUAAAGAAGCUAUUGGCAUCUGAUUCUCGCCUACGUCCCGACAGAUAUGCACUAGAGCAGGGUGACCUCUCUAAGGCAGGCUUUGAAAAGAGCAGGUUUCUCCCCCUCCCCAUCAAACUAGAUUUUGGAAUUUAUGUUUAUUUAUGCACAUCAUGUUGCUAAUUGUAUGAGCGUUGUUAAUGGAGGUGAAACAGGUUACGGUGUUGUAAUUCUUUUAGAAUUAG